GGCUGGUCUGAAGGUAGCCAGUUAUCUCAGCUGGUCACAGUUGGUUACGAUUGCACUCCUUGUUCUACUCUUUCCUCCCUUCUCACUACUGGACUUAACUAUGUCUUAC
ensembl:misc_RNA Y_RNA Y RNA